AUGACAGUACCCCCCCCCCCUAUGGCGCCUUCCACGGCGCCCACGGAAGCCCCCCCCCCCAAACCAGGGCGGGCGGAGGGUGGUCCCAGGAGGAGGGACCGAAUCCCAACCCCUCAAGGCAAACGAGCAGGGUGGGUGGAGGGAGGACCGGAGGAGGGCCAAAACAAGAGUCCACAUGACACGACAAAAGUCCACGACCAGGGAAAACAACAACGCCGCUCCCUCUUAAGGCGGGUGGAGACGCGGCGAGAUCCUGCCCAGCCGCCGCUGAGGCAGAGGGGCACACCCAGUGCCCUUGGGCUGGGCCAGCGUCCACGGGGAUCCCCCCCAACGGCGAUGUCCUCCUGGCGGACGCUGAUCCAGGAGGCUGAGGAGUCGAGGCGGACGGCGCCGCAGGAGGCAGCGCCAUCCAAGCAGCAGGAUGCGCCGAGGGCGAGGCCACCAGUCCGACAGCCGAGCCAAGGACGAGGCAGGAACCAGCGGCAUCCUCCUUGGACCACCGCGACGAGAAACAUGAACCAGCGGCGUCCUCCUUGGACCACCGCGACGAGAGACAGGAACCAGCGGCGUCCUCCUUGGACCACCGCGACGAGAGACAGGAACCAGCGGCGUCCUCCUUGGACCACCGCGACGAGAGACAGGAACCAGCGGCGUCCUCCCUGGACCACCGCGACGAGAGACAGGAACCAGCGGCGUCCUCCCUGGACCACCGCGACGAAAGACAGGAACCAGCGGCGUCCUCCUUGGACCACCGCGACGAGAGACAGGAACCAAUGCAGGUGCGGCCGGAGCCGGGCCGCCAGGGACAGAUGCAGCGGGGACUGCGACGGGCGCGACCCCCUCCUGGAGGUCCGCCGGGACUGCGACGGGCGCGACCCCCUCCUGGAGGUCCGCCGGGACUGCGACGGGCGCGACCCCCUCCUGGAGGUCCGCCGGGACUGCGACGGGCGCGACCCCCUCCUGGAGGUCCGCCGGGACUGCGGCUGGCGCGACCCCCUCCUGGAGGUCCGCCGGGACUGCGGCUGGCGCGACCCCCUCCUGGAGGUCCGCCGGGACUGCGGCUGGCGCGACCCCCUCCUGGAGGUGCGCCGGAACUGCGGCUGGCGCGACCCCCUCCUGGAGGUGCGCAGGAACUGCAGCUGGCGCGACCUCCUCCUGGAGGUGCGCAGGAACUGCAGCUGGCGCGGCCUCCUCCUGGAGGUGCGCAGGAGCUGCAGCUGGCGCCGCCUCCUCCUGGAGGCCGGCGGGCGCUGCGGCUCCGAGGGAGACAGGGACUGGAACGACCUCUCUCGGGCCGACAGGAACGAGGACUGGAACGACCGCCACAGGGCCGACAGGAACGGGAGCGGCCUCAACAUGGCCGACGGGAACGGGAACUGGAGCGGCCUCAACAUGGCCGACGGGAACGGGACCAGAGACAGCAACGCCCUCUACUUGGCCGACGGGAACGGGACCAGAGACAGGAACGCCCUCAACUUGGCCGACGGGAACGCCCUCAACUUGGCCGACGGGAACGCCCUCAACUUGGCCGACAGGGACAGGAACUGGAACGACCUCAACUUGGCCGACAGGGACAGGAACUGGAACGACCUCAACUUGGCCGACAGGGACAGGAACUGGAACGACCUCAACUUGGCCGACAGGGACAGGGACAGGAACUGGAACGACCUCAACAUGGCCGACAGGGACAGGAACGGCAUCUACUUGGCCGACAGGAACAGGAACGGCAUCUACUUGGCCGACAGGAACAGGAACGGCAUCUACUUGGCCGACAGAGACAGGAACUGGAGCGACCUCAACUUGGCCGACAGGGACAGGGACAGGAACUGGAACGACCUCAACAUGGCCGACAGGGACAGGAACGGCAUCUACUUGGCCGACAGGAACAGGAACGGCAUCUACUUGGCCGACAGGAACAGGAACGGGGACAGGAACGGCCGCAACAUGGCCGACAGGAACGGCCGCAACAUGGCCGACAGGAACGGCCGCAACAUGGCCGACAGGAACAAGAACGACCCCUAA
ensembl:lncRNA